AGAGUGGCGGACGGGUGAGUAACGCGUGGGAAUCUACCUAGUAGUGGAGGAUAACUCGGGGAAACUCGAGCUAAUACUGCAUACGCCCUACGGGGGAAAGCGGGGGAUCUUCGGACCUCGUGCUAUUGGAUGAGCCCGCGUUAGAUUAGCUUGUUGGUGAGGUAAUGGCUCACCAAGGCGACGACGGGUAGCCGGCCUGAGAGGGUAA
rnacentral:rRNA from 15 species